CAUCGGUACACACCCCAACCACGCAUUUCUCCAAAGCUAGUUCAGACAGGGUGCAGGGGCAUGCUCCAUGCCCUCUGUGCCACCCCAGUCUUACCCUGGGAGAGGAGAUGGUUAGUACGCAGCUGUCCUGGGCAGAGAUGUGGCAGCUGCUCCUGGCCCUUUGUCUUCUCCCUUGGCCCUACUGGGGCUCCAGGCAAUGGUGUGUGGGCAUUGCCCUGUUGCCCAAGGGAGACAAGGACAGAAACCUGCAGAAGAGCCAAGUUGGGUCACGGGGCUAGCCUGAAGUCAACACAAGAGGACAGGUGGCAUCGUGAAGCUGAAGGCAAGGCAGCUAGAGAGCAGAAAGGGUUGAGAGGCUCCGUCCAGUGGGCGGGCGAGGGAGGGAUGCAUCCUGGGAGCAGAGGAUGGGGAUUCACGGAAGACCAUGGAUAGAGAAGCAGCCAGCUGUGAUGUGCCAGAAAACCAAGGUCUCUUUCCAGGACAUCCUCCUGUUCCUGAGCCCCAGGCCCCAAGCCCAGCAUAUGCCUGCAGCCCCUCUAGGUGACCGCAUUCUUAGCAAAAAGCUGGAGAGGGAUCUGGGGUAUAAUUUAUUAAGUAGACUCCACUUCCGCUUAGCUAUAUGUCAAGCCAAGACCUCACGCUUGGGCCUGUCCCCUCUAACUGGCUCCCAGUCAUGCACCCUGAAAUACCCUCAUCUUUACUGUUUUGGGCUCCCACUUUUUCAGAGGUCUUUGCCUCUAUAAACACAGCGUCAUGGGGCAGGGUGGCUAGUCGGAAUUGGACCCCCUUUCUGGAGUAAAACCAUUCCCAGUCAGUAGAGACCAAGCCACCCAGAUCAAAACUUCAUGCAAAGACCUCUCGCCGAAAGCCAGUGGUUGUAGUAGGCUGCAAAGCUGGCUAGUGGCUCUUGUCUGUGUGCAGAAUAACCUGCUCUCUACUCUCCCGCUACUAAGAACACGGAGGCUAUAGGUUGCUAUCAUUCUGGGAUCCUGUCCUCCUCACCAUUGGCUUACAACCGCAUAAUCUUGGGUAAAAGACCCCAGAAUUCUUGGGGUCUCUUACACCAAAGCAAGCCCGCCAAAGGAGACCAGUCUUACCCCAGGAGCACCCAGUCUUUCAUAAACCAGACAGCCAGAGAUUCAUAGGGAGUCUACACAGUCCAGAAAGACUAAAAGUCUCCAGAAUAUUGCGUAUGCAUACACAUAUGCAAUUACAUAGGUGGAGGUAGAGCCUGGAUCUUCCCUGCUUCCUGGUUUCCAAAGGAUCUGAUCCUCUGCUCUGGACUAGCACUACCAGCCAUGUGGGUCUCUGCCCCCCAUCUCCCUCUCUGCUGGGGCCCAGCCUGUACAUCACCAGGUGUUAAACACCAAGUACCUGGUUUGUAGUUCUGGAACGUUCUCCAGCAGUUUCCUUGCACCUCUGGCUCUCACCAGCAUCCUCUCAGCUGUUCUGUGCCAAAUAUGUCUGCAGCCCUGGGCUCAGCACAGGGGCCCCUCACCUGGGCAGUGACUGAGCUUCGCCCAUCCUGUUACGAUGUCUUAUGUACACCCUGCUAUUUACAGACCUGGCCUCGGAUCAUGUGACCCUCCGGGAAGAGUCCAGAGAACUGAGGCUAAGGCGGAGGCUUUUCUCUAGAGGCUUGGGCCCUGUUCCGACGUGGACUUUGGGGCUAGGAACCUGGGCUUCUCUCUGUGAAUGUAAGGACAGCUACUCAGAGAGCCUUGGUGGGGGCCUCUCCCCAUUUCCUGGGGUCAGACCCGCUCAGCACUUGGCAGCUGCCCCGUGUGGGGACUCAGUCCAACUCUGUUUUUGCUUUUCUUCUUGACCAAAGCAUGUGCCACCCAGUUGUCCAAAAGGACACCGUCUUUAUGAAACACACCUGGAAUAAAACCACUUCUUACAUGUCCAC
rnacentral:lncRNA from 1 species